GGAAAACGGUACUAGAAGAUAGCUACUGGAUUGCUUUAUUAUUACACAGUCUCCCAAACAACUUCUAUUUAAAGAAAAGGGAAGUGUUGAUUAUUCCUGGGCAAGAUGGCUGAAUAGGAGCAGCUCCAGUCUGCAGCUUCCAACGAGACCAACGCAAAAGUCAGGAUUGAGCCUGUCCAAGAACACAAGCAAUGCAGAGAAAAGCAGAGAUGAGUGACCAAGAUAAGGGAAAGAGAGACAUGAUGACAUCAUUCAGCCUCUGGAUCUAGCCAUGGGUGAAGACAGUUCAUCUUUUCUUUCCCCUCCCACGCCACCCCUGCAGGCUUCUAGUUACAUGAGCCAAUGAGCAACUUGUUUAUUCCUUAAGUCAGUGUGAGUUGGGCUUAUUUUGCUUGUAAUCAAAUAACAUUAAAUAGAUACACAACCUGACCUUGGGCAAGUCAUAGUCUCUCUGAAGGUCAGUUCAGCUGUAAAACAGGAUGAUUCCUUUUUUACUCAUCACACAGGGACAUUAAGAGGCUCACAUUUAUGUGAAAUGUACAUGAAUACAUUUUGACAACUGUAAGUGUUUGGGAAAAAAAGGAUAAGUAUUAGUGUGUAUCCCUGAAGAAUAAAGAGAUAUUGUUUACUAUGAUUUUGUUUUCUUUAGAAAACAAAGAAACACUAUUCAGUCAAUUAUUAUAGACACUGGAAAAGCAUAAGCCCAUGCCCAAACCAUUAUAGUUAAAUCUCUUACCACAGGAUUUCUCUUUCAUGACCAAAAAUCACAGAUUUUUUUCUUUCUUUUCUUUUUCAAAGAACAUGAAAACCUACUUAUUAUUCCACCUAGAAUAUGCAAGAGCUAGCAUUUAACUUUAACGUUUGUUCUUAAAGCCUGCACAAAAAUUUUGAAAUAAAGAUUUGUUGCUGUCUC
rnacentral:lncRNA from 10 species